rnacentral:rRNA from 1 species
CCUUCGGGAGGCUGCAGUGGGGAAUAUUGGACAAUGGGCGAAAGCCUGAUCCAGCCAUGCCGCGUGUGUGAAGAAGGCCUUCGGGUUGUAAAGCACUUUCAGUGGGGAAGAAAGCCUUGGGGCUAAUACCCUCGAGGAAGGACAUCACCCACAGAAGAAGCACCGGCUAACUCCGUGCCAGCAGCCGCGGUAAUACGGAGGGUGCGAGCGUUAAUCGGAAUUACUGGGCGUAAAGCGCGCGUAGGCGGUCUGAUAAGCCGGUUGUGAAAGCCCCGGGCUCAACCUGGGAACGGCAUCCGGAACUGUCAGGCUAGAGUGCAGGAGAGGAAGGUAGAAUUCCCGGUGUAGCGGUGAAAUGCGUAGAGAUCGGGAGGAAUACCAGUGGCGAAGGCGGCCUUCUGGACUGACACUGACGCUGAGGUGCGAAAGCGUGGGUAGCAAACAGGAUUAGAUACCCGGGUAGUC